CGGGGUGGAGCAGCCUGGUAGCUCGUCGGGCUCAUAACCCGAAGGUCGUCGGUUCAAAUCCGGCAGA
rnacentral:tRNA from 1 species